rnacentral:lncRNA from 1 species
CUGGAGACUCUGUGGUUGGAACCAUAAGCUGCUCAUCCAGGGCCUCCACUCCGAUUCUACUGCACAGAGGGCUGGCAACGGUAGCAUAGCCUAUCACAGGAUCGCAGUGGGCAAUAUUAGAAAACCUAGCACUUUUCAAUCUGGGUAGGGAAGCGUCUAGUAUGGUACCACCCAGCUAAGGAAAUGAUGGAAGUGUGUGCACUUCCAGGCAUGGGUGAGUGGGAGAAGGUAAGAGAUGACUAACGGGUUUUCCUUCUAUGCAGAGGGCAGAAUGACAGACACAGCAACCUUCAGAAGGAAAACAUCCUCUUUCAAAGGCUGCAACGAAUGGCAUUGUAAUCCAAAGAGCUGGUGCCCUUUGGCACCACCCAGGAGUUGAACUCUUCUUCCCUCUGAUUCUAACCAUGCUUUAAGCAAGAGUCCAUCCUGCUGCUCCAAAAGCUCACUUCUCAGCACAGAUGAAGGUCACUCCCACCCUGUGCUGGGGAGCCAGUAUCAUCUCCUUAGAGGACAGAUCAUGAGAUUCUGAGGCUCAGGGGCAACAGACCUAUGGCCAUGUAAGGCGUUGGAAGAGCUGCCGUGUUCACAGGAGCCCCGAGUAACCACCACCCUGAGAGAGCAAGAGAGGAGCCACUCUGACAGGGGAGAGAGCUGACAACGGCUGGGAUUGAGGAAAAUCAGAAGGCUGAGUUUCAAAAAGUACAAUAAACAAAAUAAAACAAAUGGAAAGGAACAAAGAAUAGAUGUGAGACCACACGGCCAGAGUCAUCCCAGGACAAAGCUCUGGCUCCCAUCUGUUCACCAGAGAAAAUACUAAACAUGCUAAAUAAAACAGGACUUAGAGGUUUCGGUUGUUGUUGUUGUUGUUGUUGGCUUAAUGGAGAAAAUGGAGAGUUCAUCAAAUUCAUUAAAAAACAAACAAACAAACAAACAAGACACUGAAGGCAUCCAAUCUCCUGGACCUGGAGUUGGGAGUCACCCGAAAGGAGUGCUGGGAACCGAACGCAGGUCCUUUGGAGGAGUGACAUGCACUGCCAACU